GGACUCUCUUGCCUAAGUUAUAACUUUGUGAAAGAAAGCAGGUGAAAGUGGGGGAAUUGAUCUUGCUUAAAACAAUUGACUGGGCACUAAAUGAACUACACAGGGGAAAAUGGCCUGCAGCCGCAUCCAUAUUGUCUCAGCAGGUUUCUGUACAAAAAAUAAAGAGAAAGAAAAGGAAGAGCAGGGAGGACGAUGAACAGAACAGAGAAGAGAGGAAGAAAGGGCAAAAAGAGAGAAAUGGCCAUUCUAUCCAAAUAAACAACUCUACCUUAAUCAUGCAUCAGCAGGAGGAUGUUUAUGGCCUCAGCACAUUUCUUUUACUGCACAGUAGAGACACUUGGCUCUUCCCUCUUCAAUUCGAAUGUGAGUGGAAUGGCUAACUCAUGUGAACAGACUUUUUUUCCCAGGGAGGAGCCAGCCACACAAUAAAAUGUAAAUGGAAAAUAGCUUCCUGAUGUUCCUCUGCAAUACUUUGAAUCAUGCUAACUUCUAGACCAGAUUAAUUACACAAUUGUAAGAGCAGGAAAUAAACUGAUUGAGGACAUUA